AACAACAGCAGCUCAGGUGCAAAACGCCAAAAGCUGCAGUUUGAAGAAGAGCUAGAAAAAAUUUGCAAACUGGAUGAUUCCAUUGAACCGGCAAUAAAACUGAGUAGCCAAUGUGUAGUUAAUAAAGAGGUCUCACCAAAAGAAAAUUAAAGAAAGAAGAAAACGAUGCAAGAAACUCUAGUUGAAAUUGCUGCUAGGAAAGAGAAAGCCAGGGAGAAGCGACACAAGGAAAGAAUUGAGAAAGCUACAAGAAUCGAAAGCCUUAUGGAAAAAUGUUUGACUGAAAGCAAACCAGCUUAAACCUGUGGGUGUGCGCGAUAUAGUUAUAAAAUCAGCUCUUGGUUUGCAGGCUUCUGCAAAUGGAUGUAAAAUGAUUGCAAGUGCCUUUCGUUUCCGGCCGAACGUUUCGCCAAAUAACAUUUUCACCGGCGCCCUUCGCUCAUUUACAACAACUGCCUUUUCUCCAUCACCACAUCAUGUCAUUGACGGCCAAAUCCACAUCACCUUUAUACGGCGUGUUCGGAAACACUGCUCUUGCUAGUGGUUCGGAUUUCGGAGCAACUUGAACAGCAACAACGGCACCAACAGAACAUUCGGUUUAACCCUGACAAACCUGUACUUGUACAAACAUUCCCCAAGCCAUACAAAUAUACCCACAUUGACGUUGCUGCCAGUGAUUUUGUAUUGCCAGAUGAGCCGACCGUUGCACCAAUCGUGGCAUUGGCAAAAACACAUUUAUAGAUUUAGGCGUAUAACUAGCGUUUGCAAUUAUACGACAGUUGACGAUUUAUUUAUUUCUUUUUAACUUGAAUCCAUUUUUAUAAUAAUAGGAUUCAUUCGAUAAUAAUAUUAUAUAUAUAUAUAUAUAUAUAUAUAUAUAUAUCACGAUUGAAAGAAUACAAAACUUGCGCCGAUCUCGCUAUUCCUCUACAUUUUUU